rnacentral:rRNA from 1 species
AUUGAACGCUGGCGGCAUGCCUUACACAUGCAAGUCGAACGGCAGCACGGGUGCUUGCACCUGGUGGCGAGUGGCGAACGGGUGAGUAAUAUAUCGGAACGUACCUUAUUGUGGGGGAUAACGCAGCGAAAGCUGUGCUGAUACCGCACAAUCCCUAAGGGGGAAAGCGGGGGACCGUAAGGCCUCGCGCAAUUAGAGCGGCCGAUACCUGAUUAGCUAGUUGGUGAGGUAAAGGCUCACCAAGGCAACGAUCAGUAGCUGGUCUGAGAGGACGAUCAGCCACACUGGGACUGAGACACGGCCCAGACUCCUACGGGAGGCAGCAGUGGGGAAUUUUGGACAAUGGGGGCAACCCUGAUCCAGCAAUGCCGCGUGAGUGAAGAAGGCCUUCGGGUUGUAAAGCUCUUUUGUCAGGGAAGAAACAGCAGCUCUAACACAGUUUGCGAAUGACGGUACCUGAAGAAUAAGCACCGGCUAACUACGUGCCAGCCGCCGCAGUAA